rnacentral:rRNA from 1 species
UCUCAGCUUAUUUUGCGCAGCUUAGGUGGGAGGCUAUGAACCUUUUCUUCUGGGAAGAGGGGAGCCGUCAGUGAGAUACCACUCUUGGUAAGCUAGAGCGCUCAGUCUUAACCGUCAUCCGGUAAGGCGACAGUUUCAGGCGGGCAGUUUGACUGGGGCAGUCACCUCCCAAAAGGUAAUGGAGGUGUGCAAAGGUUCCCUCAGGCUGAACGGAAAUCAGCCAUAGAGUGUAAAAGCAAAAGGGAGCUUGACUGCGAGACUGACAUGUCAAGCAGAGACGAAAGUCGGCUUUAGUGAUCCGACGGUGCUGUGUGGAAAGGCCGUCGCUCAACGGAUAAAAGUUACUCUAGGGAUAACA